rnacentral:rRNA from 1 species
AACGUAGGGGGCCAGCGUUGCUCGGAAUUACUGGGCGUAAAGGGUCCGUAGGCGGUGUAGCAAGUCGGCAGUGAAAUCUCUGGGCUUAACCCAGAGGCUGCUUCCGAAACUGCUGUGCUAGAGUGUGAGAGAGGCGAGUGGAAUUGCGGGUGUAGCGGUGAAAUGCGUAGAUAUCCGCAGGAACAUCCGAGGCGAAAGCGGCUCGCUGGAUCACAACUGACGCUGAGGGACGAAAGCUAGGGGAGCAAACAGG